AUGAUUAUUUUGAACUGACAUGAUUCCAUUUUACAAUAAAAACCAUCUAAAUCUAUUGUAAUUUACGGAAAAUGACCUCCGUACAACUUAUCAGACAGUUAUGGUUGUGACGUCACACUCUCUAGAAAGUUCCGAGAAUAGAAAGUGAAAGCAGUUUAUCAUGGUAGUAUUUUUAGUUCUAGCAACAAAACAAAACCUUUAUUUUACUACUGUUAUGAAGACAUCAACUCAGAAUGAUUAUUUUGAACUGACAUGAUUCCAUUUUACAAUAAAAACUAUCUGAAUCUACUGUAAUCUCCAAAAAAUACCCUCCGUACAACUCAAGACAGUUAUGGCUGUGACGUCACAGUUCCGGGAAUAGAAAGUGAAAGCAGUUUGUCAUGGUAGUAUUUUUAGUUCUAGCAACAAAACAAAACCUUUAUUUUACUACUGUUAUGAAGACAUCAAUUCAUAAUGAUUAUUUUGAACUGAGAUGAUUCCAUUUUACAAUACAAACCAUCUAAAUCUACUGUAAUCUGCAAAAAAUGACCUCCGUAACACUGAGUCAGUGAUAACUUGAGCAUCAAGAAAUCAAUCUCCGUAAAUCAUGAUAAAAACAGCUUCAUUCUAUAAUAAGAGCUAAGCUCUUCGGGCAGCGAAGCUGCCCGAGCGAAGCUCUUUACCGUUAACGUGCACGUAUGUACAGUAUUCUAGUCCAGCUUCGCAUUACGUCGUACGGGAUGAUACAGCCUGAAAAUUUUCUGCCGAAAGUGAGCGUGUGUAACCCGCUCCAUUUGUCUGCAGAAACUGUAAAUCCAGUUGGUGUGUUCAUAAUGCUGACUUAUUAUUUUUGUAAAAAAUAUCUGUUAUAGUUUGCGAAUAAAAUGUAGCUCGAGUUAUGGUUUCGAGGACGGAACUGGGAACAUUCGGAGCAUAUUUCCGAUGAUUGCCGAAAAUGUAUCGAGAUGUUGCACCCUCCAUGUCGUUCCUAGGCAACGUGGUUGCUAUAUAAAUCUAGCCAAUCAGAUCGCGAGGUCGAUUGUCCGCCAUUACCUCCGUCAACUUGUCGGACCUCAGUUGAACACCGCGAGAAUACAUAUGUAAACAGAAAAUGAUGAAAACGUGCUCGUGGGGAACUGGCAACAGUUACCCCCGAUACCCUGAUAGAUUGGAGGGCGGUGUUGUAUAUUCUACAAUUCAUGGAUCCUAAAACAUACAGCUUUGGAAGUUUUGUCAGCAGCAGCUAAAAUAAAGAGGCUAGAACAACAACUACAUAGAUAUGAGCUGCUGAAUUUGCACCAUGAACAACAAAAUACUACAUCUUUCUGAAGUGUUAUAUUGAUAGUGAAAUUAAGCAGAAAUAAAAUUGAUUGACAUCCUGAAUUGUAACUGUUGUCUAGAUUUUUUAUCCAUCCUGGAUCAACUUCUGGUUAUAACUAGACAUACCAUUGUUAGACCUGUACUGUACUGCACUUUAUAGUUUUAUUUACUAUACAGGUUUGGGUAUU